UUGUUCUAAAAUAAUUUCUGGUCAUAUUGGCGUGAAAAAGCCAGAAAACCAGUCGACAUAUAGCGGGUUGCAAUUGGCAAAUAAAACCAUUUCUCUCUUAGUCUGAUAAGUUGCAGACAAUUUAGUCACUGUCCUUAACAAAUGAAUGUCAACAUAAAAACUACAAACUGAAUGACUAGCAUUCAUACACGAAACAUACAGAUAUGGAAUGACCAGCAUUCACAAUUAUAGGUACUUAGGGUGCAAUACCGUCUUUCCCCAAACAACACAGAAUGACUAGCAUUCACAAUUAUAGGUACUUAGGGUGCAAUACCGUCUUUCCCCAAACAACACAGAAUGACUAGCAUUCACAAUUAUAGGUACUUAGGGUGCAAUACCGUCUUUCCCCAAACAACACAAAA